rnacentral:rRNA from 1 species
CAGUAGGGAGGAAGGUAGUGUAGUUAACACCUGCAUUAUUUGACGUUACCUACAGAAGAAGCACCGGCUAACUCUGUGCCAGCAGCCGCGGUAAUACGGAGGGUGCGAGCGUUAAUCGGAAUUACUGGGCGUAAAGCGCAUGCAGGCGGCCUGUUAAGUCAGAUGUGAAAGACCCGGGGCGUUAACCUCGGAAUUGCAUUUGAAACUAGGCAGGCUAGAGUCUUGUAGAGGGGGGUAGGAAUUUCAGGUGUAGCGGUGAAAUAGCGUAGAGAUCUGAAGGAAUACCAGUGGCGAAGGCGGCCCCCUCGGACAAAGACUGACGCUCAGAUGCGAAAGCGUGGGGAGCAAACAGGAUUAGAUACCCUGGUAG